rnacentral:rRNA from 1 species
UAUCGGAUUGAUACUAAGCCAUGCGAGUCAUUGUAGCAAUACAAGGCAGACGGCUCAGUAACGCGUAGUCAAUCUACCCUAUGGACGGGAAUAACCUCGGGAAACUGAGAAUAAUGCCCGAUAGAACAUUAUGCCUGGAAUGGUUUAUGUUUCAAAUGAUUUAUCGCCAUAGGAUGGGACUGCGGCCUAUCAGUUUGUUGGUGAGGUAAUGGCCCACCAAGACUAUUACAGGUACGGGCUCUGAGAGGAGUAGCCCGGAGAUGGGUACUGAGACACGGACCCAGGCCCUAUGGGGCGCAGCAGGCGAGAAAACUUUGCAAUGUGCGAAAGCACGACAAGGUUAAUCCGAGUGGUUUCUGCUAAAGAAACCUUUUGUCAGUCCUAGAAACACUGAUGAAUAAGGGGUGGGCAAGUU